rnacentral:misc_RNA from 1 species
UACAAUUUCAAAUUAAUUCCAACAUUUAUUAUUUAUUUUAAGUUCUGCUGGACUGAAGAUUGUGAAGAAGGCGAAAGCCGAAUCGUUCAGAAAAAUAAUACAAACAAUUUAACAUCCGAAUCAUUGCUGACAUAAUGGCACUAGAGUUUUUAUUUGGUCGUCGUAAAACUUCAGAAGAGAUGCUUCGACAAAAUCAAAGAGCUUUAAAUAAAGCUAUGAGAGAUCUAGAUAGAGAGAGAGCAAAAAUGGAACAGCAAGAAAAGAAGUUGAUUAUAGAUAUUAAAAAGAUGGCAAAGGAUAAUCAGAUGGAUGCAGUGAAAAUCAUGGCUAAAGACCUGGUCAGAACUAGACGCUAUGUUAAAAAGUUUAUGUUGAUGAGAGCAAACAUUCAAGCUAUUUCACUGAAAAUUCAGACAUUACGAUCACAGAAUUCUAUGGCUCAGGCAAUGAAAGGAGUUACAAAAGCUCUAAAAAAUAUGAAUAAACAGCUAAACUUACCACAAAUUCAGAAGAUUAUGCAGGAGUUUGAGAAACAAUCUGAGAUUAUGGACAUGAAAGAAGAAAUGAUGAAUGAUGCUAUUGAUGAUGUUAUGGAAGAUGAAGAAGAUGAGGAGGAAAGUGAGGCUCUGGUGUCCCAAGUACUAGAUGAAUUAGGUUUACAGCUAUCAGAGAAGUUGACAGGUCUUCCAAGUGAAGGAGGUUCACUUAGUGCUGAUUCUCAGAAGAACAAGCCUGCUGUAGCAUUAACAGGGGCUGAUGCAGAUCUGGAAGCUCGUUUGGAAAACCUGCGAAAAGAUUGAAGAAAGUUAAUCAAACAGAGUAACUGUAAAGAAUGUCAAAAACUGGGUGAAAUCAUUUGGGUGUUACAACAGAUGGCAGUGUGUUCUGGACCUCUAACUGAGAAUUAUUGCUGCAGCCAUUUUUGUCAACAGGUGUUUGCUCAGAAUUGUUUUGAUUUUGAUGACCAAUUAGGAAA